GACGAACGCUGGCGGCGUGCUUAACACAUGCAAGUCGAACGGAAAGGCCCUGCUUUUGUGGGGUGCUCGAGUGGCGAACGGGUGAGUAACACGUGAGUAACCUGCCCUUGACUUUGGGAUAACUUCAGGAAACUGGGGCUAAUACCGGAUAGGAGCUCCUGCUGCAUGGUGGGGGUUGGAAAGUUUCGGCGGUUGGGGAUGGACUCGCGGCUUAUCAGCUUGUUGUGGGGGUAGUGGCUUACCAAGGCUUUGACGGGUAGCCGGCCUGAGAGGGUGACCGGCCACAUUGGGACUGAGAUACGGCCCAGACUCCUACGGGAGGCAGCAGUGGGGAAUAUUGCACAAUGGGCGGAAGCCUGAUGCAGCAACGCCGCGUGCGGGAUGACGGCCUUCGGGUUGUAAACCGCUUUCGCCUGUGACGAAGCGUGAGUGACGGUAAUGGGUAAAGAAGCACCGGCUAACUACGUG
rnacentral:rRNA from 1 species